rnacentral:rRNA from 1 species
UACGUAGGUGGCAAGCGUUGUCCGGAUUUAUUGGGCUUAAAGGGUGCGUAGGCGGCUUUGUAAGUCAGUGGUGAAAUAUGUCAGCUCAACCCAGAGGGUGCCAUUGAUACUGCAGAGCUUGAGUACAGAUGAGGUAGGCGGAAUUGACGGUGUAGCGGUGAAAUGCGUAGAUAUCGUGAAGAACACCUAUGGCGAAGGCAGCUUACUGGGCUGUAACUGACGCUGAGGCACGAAAGUGUGGGGAUCAAACAGG